GGCUAACCUGCCCUCGGGACGGGAACACCCCCGGGAAACUGGGGCUAAUUCCCGAUAGGUGAAGAACUCUGGAAUGAGUCUCCGCCCAAAAGACGCUUAGAUCACGCUUUUAAGCGCCGCCCAAGGAUGGGGCCGCGACCGAUCAGGUUGUUGGUGAGGUAACGGCCCACCAAGCCUUUUACCGGUGCGGGCCGUGGGAGCGGGAGCCCGGAGAUGGGCACUGAGACAAGGGCCCAGGCCCUACGGGGCGCAGCAGUCGCGAAAACUUUGCAAUAAGCGAAAGCUUGACAGGGCUAUCCCGAGUGCCAUCCGCUGAGGAAGGCUUUUACCCAGUCUAGAACGCUGGGAGAAUAAGGAGAGGGCAAGUCUGGUGUCAGCCGCCGCGGUAAUACCAGCUCUCCGAGUGGUGUGGAUGUUUAUUGGGCCUAAAGCAUCCGUAGCUGGCCAGGCAAGUCCCCUGUUAAAUCCACCGAAUCAAUCGUUGGAUUGCGGGGGAUACUGCCCGGCUAGGGGACGAGAGAGGCCGACGGUAUUUCCGGGGUAGGGGUGAAAUCCUAUAAUCCCGGGAGGACCACCAGUGGCGAAGGCUGUCGGCUAGAACGCGCCCGACGGUGAGGGAUGAAAGCUGGGGGAGCGAACCGGAUUAGAUACCCGGGUAGUCCCAGCUGUAAACGAUGCAGGCUAGGUGUUUGGGCGGCCACGUGCCGCUCUAGUGCCGCAGGGAAGCUGUUAAGCCUGCCGCCUGGGGAGUACGGUCGCAAGGCUGAAACUUAAAGGAAUUGGCGGGGGAGCACCACAAGGGGUGAAGCUUGCGGUUUAAUUGGAGUCAACGCCGGAGAUCUCACCG
rnacentral:rRNA from 1 species